rnacentral:rRNA from 1 species
ACGUAAUAGAUACCCNGGGUAGUCCACGCCCUAAACGAUGUCUACUAGUUGUUGGUGGAGUAAAUCCAUGAGUAAACGCAGCUAAACGCGUGAAGUAGACCGCCUGGGGAGUACGGUCGCAAGAUUAAAACUCAAAGGAAUUGACGGGGGCCCGCACAAGCGGUGGAUUAUGUGGAUUAAAUUCGAUGCAACGCGAAAAACCUUACCUGGCCUUGACAUGCCACUAACGAAGCAGAGAUGCAUUAGGUGCCCGUAAGGGAAAGUGGACACAGGUGCUGCAUGGCUGUCGUNAGCUCGUGUCGUGAGAUGUUGGGUUAAAGUCCCGCAACGAGCGCAACCCUUGCCAUUAAUUGCCAUCA